AGUAAUCAAUGUUCCAAUACAAAUUUGAAUAGUGGAGAUCAUUAGAAGAUAAUUAGAAGAUAGUGUUUUUGUGUGUCUGUAGGUCAGUCUUGCAGGCCUGCAGUUCUGCUCUCUGUGUCCUGAUCUUCCUGACCACUACACUAAGUACUGUAUCAGGUGGUUCUCCAGUGAAGGUGAAGCUUCAUGACUCUGCUACUCUGUCCUGCUCUGUGAGAUGCUCUGGUUUAGCGAGAUGGACUGUGUUCCACAAACGCAGUGACACUCUGGCUGAGUGUGAUCAGACUUCAUGUAGAUCAGUGAAGGAGGGAUAUCAGAUGAUCCACGAUGAGUACCUGAAGGGGAAUCUCUCUCUCAUCACCACCGAUGCUGAUUUCAGUAAGAGAGGCUGGUACACGAGUGACUGUGAUGAUAAAGACAUCUGUGAUGUGCAUCUUCAAAGUGAGCUGAGGUUCUUCUUGAUCAGCUACACGUCCUUUCAGACCCACAGCGCUGAGUGGUCUUCUCACAGUGGAAGGAUGGACAGAAACACCUGUGGAUGUUUUCAGAUCUGA
ensembl:lncRNA